UGGGGAAUAUUGCACAAUGGGCGCAAGCCUGAUGCAGCCAUGCCGCGUGUGUGAAGAAGGCCUUCGGGUUGUAAAGCACUUUCAGCGAGGAGGAAGGUGGUGAGCUUAAUACGCUCAUCAAUUGACGUUACUCGCAGAAGAAGCACCGGCUAACUCCGUGCCAGCAGCCGCGGUAAUACGGAGGGUGCAAGCGUUAAUCGGAAUUACUGGGCGUAAAGCGCACGCAGGCGGUUUGUUAAGUCAGAUGUGAAAUCCCCGGGCUCAACCUGGGAACUGCAUUUGAAACUGGCAAGCUAGAGUCUCGUAGAGGGGGGUAGAAUUCCAGGUGUAGCGGUGAAAUGCGUAGAGAUCUGGAGGAAUACCGGUGGCGAAGGCGGCCCCCCUGGANGAAGACUGACGCUCAGGUGCGAAAGCGUGGGGCAGCAAACAGGAUUAGAUACCCUGGUAGUCCACGCUGUAAACGAUGUCGAUUUUGGAGGUUGUGCCCUUGAGGCGUGGCUUCCGGAGCUAACGCGUUAAAUCGACCGCCUGGGGAGUACGGCCGCAAGGUUAAAACUCAAAUGAAUUGAC
rnacentral:rRNA from 1 species